AGACUACAAAAUUGACAAAAUGGAAUAGAACUUUAUCAAUUUCUUAAAGAUGGCAAAUAUCAAGAUAAGUGGAUUUCAUUUGUGUGUAUGUUUUGCAGCACCAAAAUACAGAUAUACAAAUGUAUUGGGAGAAGUAAUUGAGCCACAUAAUGUUGCUGUUGUGACACCAAAGGAAAAAUAAUUCCAAGAAUAAUGUAAAUAUAGAAUUUUACAACUUGGAAUGUUGUCUUAAUUAUUUUAUGGGACAACUUCAAAAAAAAAAAAUGCAAAUUGAAAUGAUUCAAAGUGAGAUCUGGUAUAUCUGGUUUCUGUCCUGGGCCCAGUUGAAGAUCAACUUUGGAUCUCAUACUUUGAAAAAUUUUCAUGAUAGAUCUUGCCUGAGCAUUGACAGCUACUUUUUCCUUAGGUUUUAUGCUGCCUUAUUGUUUUUCAUACUGUUGUAUAUUAAAACACAUCACUGCUCACUAUGGCUUACAUGUACAUGGGAUUAGCUACGGAAAAUUUAAUUCAAUGACUCUGACCUCCCCUAAAAAAUUUGGAGGUAUGGGAUCCAGGAAUUGAACUGAGUCCUCCAGCAUUGAAGUGCAGCAUGCUUCCACCUCAGCCAUGUGGCUGACUUGGUCAACUUUUAUUGUAAAAUCUUGCUGACUCUAUCACAGAUUGGAUUGUUCAUAAUUGACCUGAAAUGGACUCCAUUAUGUAGGAAUCAGUUAAUGAUUGGGGAAAAGUGGAAAGUCCAUGAUUGGAAGCAUUAAAAUAAUAAUUACAGAAGAUACUAACUAUCUGGGUUGUGAAUUAAUCAAGAUUAAUCCACAGCUCAGAUUAUACAGAAGUGAUGUUUAAUUAUGGAUAUUUUAUCUUAAAUGUGCUAUCUGAAAAAUUUUUAAAUGCCCAGCCAUUUGUUUUUAUCAUAUCUUAAAUAAUUGAUGAUAAAAAUUGCAAAUAUUGC
rnacentral:lncRNA from 1 species